rnacentral:rRNA from 1 species
AUUGAACGCUGGCGGCAGGCCUAACACAUGCAAGUCGAACGAGUGGCGGACGGGUGAGUCAUGUCUGGGAAACUGCCCGAUGGAGGGGGAUAACUACUGGAAACGGUAGCUAAUACCGCAUACCAUCGGAUGUGCCCAGAUGGGAUUAGCUAGUAGGUGGGGUAACGGCUCACCUAGGCGACGAUCCCUAGCUGGUCUGAGAGGAUGACCAGCCACACUGGAACUGAGACACGGUCCAGACUCCUACGGGAGGCAGCAGUAGGGAAUAUUGCACAAUGGGCGCAAGCCUGAUGCAGCCAGGCCGCGUGUAUGAAGAAGGCCUUCGGGUUGUAAAGUACUUUCAGCGGGGAGGCGUGACCCGCAGAAGAAGCACCGGCUAACUCCGUGCCAGAAGACGCGGUAAGUC